UACGAAGGGUGCUAGCGUUGUUCGGAAUCACUGGGCGUAAAGCGUGCGUAGGCGGCUUUACAAGUCAGGGGUGAAAUGCCAAGGCUUAACCUUGGAACUGCCUUUGAAACUGUAAAGCUGGAGUGUCGGAGGGGAUAGCGGAAUUUCUAAUGUAGCGGUGAAAUGCGUAGAUAUUAGAAGGAACACCGGUGGCGAAGGCGGCUAUCUGGACGACAACUGACGCUGAGGCACGAAAGCGUGGGGAUCAAACAGG
rnacentral:rRNA from 1 species